rnacentral:rRNA from 1 species
UACGUAGGGUGCAAGCGUUAAUCGGAAUUACUGGGCGUAAAGCGUGCGCAGGCGGUUAUGUAAGACAGAUGUGAAAUGCCCGGGCUUAACCUGGGAACUGCAUUUGUGACUGCAUGGCUAGAGUUUGGCAGAGGGGGGUAGAAUUCCACGUGUAGCAGUGAAAUGCGUAGAUAUGUGGAGGAACACCGAUGGCGAAGGCAGCCCCCUGGGUCAAGACUGACGCUCAUGCACGAAAGCGUGGGGAGCGAUCCGG